rnacentral:rRNA from 1 species
CCUACGGGAGGCUGCAGUGGGGAAUAUUGCACAAUGGGCGCAAGCCUGAUGCAGCCAUGCCGCGUGUGUGAAGAAGGCCUUCGGGUUGUAAAGCACUUUCAGCGGGGAGGAAGGCGGUGAGGUUAAUAACCUCAUCGAUUGACGUUACCCGCAGAAGAAGCACCGGCUAACUCCGUGCCAGCGGCCGCGGUAAUACGGAGGGUGCAAGCGUUAAUCGGAAUUACUGGGCGUAAAGCGCACGCAGGCGGUCUGUCAAGUCGGAUGUGAAAUCCCCGGGCUCAACCUGGGAACUGCAUUCGAAACUGGCAGGCUAGAGUCUUGUAGAGGGGGGUAGAAUUCCAGGUGUAGCGGUGAAAUGCGUAGAGAUCUGGAGGAAUACCGGUGGCGAAGGCGGCCCCCUGGACAAAGACUGACGCUCAGGUGCGAAAGCGUGGGGAGCAAACAGGAUUAGAUACCCCUGUAGUC